rnacentral:rRNA from 1 species
GGCGGCAUGCCUUACACAUGCAAGUCGAACGGCAGCACGGAGCUUGCUCUGGUGGCGAGUGGCGAACGGGUGAGUAAUAUAUCGGAACGUACCCAGGAGUGGGGGAUAACGUAGCGAAAGUUACGCUAAUACCGCAUACGACCCAAGGGUGAAAGUGGGGGAUCGCAAGACCUCAUGCUCAUGGAGCGGCCGAUAUCUGAUUAGCUAGUUGGUGGGGUAAAGGCCUACCAAGGCAACGAUCAGUAGCUGGUCUGAGAGGACGACCAACCACACUGGAACUGAGACACGGUCCAGACUCCUACGGGAGGCAGCAGUGGGGAAUUUUGGACAAUGGGGGCAACCCUGAUCCAGCAAUGCCGCGUGAGUGAAGAAGGCCUUCGGGUUGUAAAGCUCUUUUGUCAGGGAAGAAAAGGUCGCAGCUAAUAUCUGUGGCUCAUGACGGUACCUGAAGAAUAAGCACCGGCU